CUGGGUAAAUCGUGUAGCUUAACUAUACGAAUUCCGGGUAGACUGCCAAACUUGAGACCGGGAGAGGCUAGAGGUACUCCUGGGGUAGAGGUGAAAUUCUGUAAUCCUAGGGGGACCACCAGUGGCGAAGGCGUCUAGCUAGAACGGGUCUGACGGUCAGGGACGAAGCCCUGGGGCGCGAACCGGAUUAGAUACCCGGGUAGUCCAGGGUGUAAACGCUGCUUGCUUGAUGUUAGUUGGGCUCCGAGCCCGAUUAGUGUCGGAGAGAAGUUGUUAAGCAAGCUGCCUGGGAAGUACGGUCGCAAGACUGAUACUUAAAGGAAUUGGCGGGGGAGCACAGCAACGGGUGGAGCGUGCGGUUUAAUUGGAUUCAACGCCGGAAAACUCACCGGAGGCGACGGUUACAUGAAGGCCAGGCUGAUGACCUUGCCUGAUUUUCCGAGAGGUGGUGCAUGGCCGCCGUCAGUUCGUACCGUAAGGCGUUCUGUUAAGUCAGAUAACGAACGAGACCCUCAUCUUUAAUUGCUACUAGUAAGUCCGCUUACUGGGCACAUUAGAGAGACCGCUGGCGAUAAGUCAGAGGAAGGCGGGGGCAACGGUAGGUCAGUAUGCCCUGAAUCCUCCGGGCUACACGCGCGCUACAAAGGCUAGGACAAUGAGUUUCAACACCGAGAGGUGAAGGUAAUCUCGAAACCUAGUUAUAGUUCGGAUUGAGGGUUGAAACUCACCCUCAUGAAGCUGGAAUCCGUAGUAAUCGCAGAUCAACAUCCUGCGGUGAAUAUGCCCCUGCUC
rnacentral:rRNA from 1 species